rnacentral:rRNA from 1 species
UCGAGCGGUAGAGAGAGCUUGCUUCUCUUGAGAGCGGCGGACGGGUGAGUAAUGCCUAGGAAUCUGCCUGGUAGUGGGGGAUAACGUUCGGAAACGGACGCUAGUACCGCAUACGUCCUACGGGAGAAAGCAGGGGACCUUCGGGCCUUGCGCUAUCAGAUGGGCCUAGGUCGGAUUAGCUAGUUGGUGGGGUAAUGGCUCACCAAGGCGACGAUCCGUAACUGGUCUGAGAGGAUGAUCAGUCACACUGGAACUGAGACACGGUCCAGACUCCUACGGGAGGCAGCAGUGGGGAAUAUUGGACAAUGGGCGAAAGCCUGAUCCAGCCAUGCCGCGUGUGUGAAGAAGGUCUUCGGAUUGUAAAGCACUUUAAGUUGGGAGGAAGGGCCGUUACCUAAUACGUGAUGGUUUUGACGUUACCGACAGAAUAAGCACCGGCUAACUCUGUGCCAGCAGCCGCGGUAAUACAGAGGGUGCAAGCGUUAAUCGGAAUUACUGGGCGUAAAGCGCGCGUAGGUGGUUUGUUAAGUUGGAUGUGAAAUCCCCGGGCUCAACCUGGGAACUGCAUUCAAAACUGACUGACUAGAGUAUGGUAGAGG